rnacentral:rRNA from 1 species
AUUGAACGCUGGCGGCAGGCUUAACACAUGCAAGUCGAGCGGGGUGAUGGUGCUUGCACUAUCACUUAGCGGCGGACGGGUGAGUAAUGCUUAGGAAUCUGCCUAUUAGUGGGGGACAACAUCUCGAAAGGGAUGCUAAUACCGCAUACGUCCUACGGGAGAAAGCAGGGGAUCACUUGUGACCUUGCGCUAAUAGAUGAGCCUAAGUCGGAUUAGCUAGUUGGUGGGGUAAAGGCCUACCAAGGCGACGAUCUGUAGCGGGUCUGAGAGGAUGAUCCGCCACACGGGGACUGAGACACGGCGCAGGCUCCUACGGGAGGCAGCAGUGGGGAAUAUUGGACAAUGGGGGGAACCCUGAUCCAGCCAUGCCGCGUGUGUGAAGAAGGCCUUAUGGUUGUAAAGCACUUUAAGCGAGGAGGAGGCUCUUUUGGUUAAUACCCAAGAUGAGUGGACGUUACUCGCAGAAUAAGCACCGGCUAACUCUGUGCCAGCCGCCGCCGUAA